rnacentral:rRNA from 1 species
GGCAAUUGGAAUGAGAACAAUUUAAAUCCCUUAUCGAGUAUCAAUUGGAGGGCAAGUCUGGUGCCAGCAGCCGCGGUAAUUCCAGCUCCAAUAGCGUAUAUUAAAGUUGUUGCGGUUAAAAAGCUCGUAGUUGGAUUUCUGCUGAGGACGACCGGUCCGCCCUCUGGGUGAGCAUCUGGCUCGGCCUUGGCAUCUUCUUGGGGAACGUAGCUGCACUUGACUGUGUGGUGCGGUAUCCAGGACUUUUACUUUGAGGAAAUUAGAGUGUUUCAAGCAGGCGCACGCCUUGAAUACAUUAGCAUGGAAUAAUAAGAUAGGACUUCGGAACUAUUUUGUUGGUUUGCGUUACGAAGUAAUGAUUAAUAGGGACAGUUGGGGGUAUUCGUAUUUCAUUGUCAGAGGUGAAAUUCUUGGAUUUCUGAAAGAUGAACUACUGCGAAAGCAUUUACCAAGGAUGUUUUCAUUAAUCAAGAACGAAAGUUAGGGGAUCGAAGAUGAUUAGAUACCAUCGUAGUCUUAACCAUAAACUAUGCCGACUCGGGAUCGGAGG